rnacentral:rRNA from 1 species
AUGAACGCUGGCGGCGUGCCUAAUACAUGCAAGUCGAGCGAACGGACGAGAAGCUUGCUUCUCUGAUGUUAGCGGCGGACGGGUGAGUAACACGUGGAUAACCUACCUAUAAGACUGGGAUAACUUCGGGAAACCGGAGCUAAUACCGGAUAAUAUUUUGAACCGCAUGGUUCAAAAGUGAAAGACGGUCUUGCUGUCACUUAUAGAUGGAUCCGCGCUGCAUUAGCUAGUUGGUAAGGUAACGGCUUACCAAGGCAACGAUGCAUAGCCGACCUGAGAGGGUGAUCGGCCACACUGGAACUGAGACACGGUCCAGACUCCUACGGGAGGCAGCAGUAGGGAAUCUUCCGCAAUGGGCGAAAGCCUGACGGAGCAACGCCGCGUGAGGGAUGAAGGUCUUCGGAUCGUAAAACUCUGUUAUUAGGGAAGAACAUAUGUGUAAGUAACUGUGCACAUCUUGACGGUACCUAAUCAGAAAGCCACGGCUAACUACGUGC